rnacentral:rRNA from 1 species
UACGUAGGGAGCAAGCGUUGUCCGGAAUCGAUUGGGCGUAAAGCGCGCGUAGGUCGCCCCAUAAGUCCGCUGUGAAAGUCAAAGGCUCAACCUUUGAAAGCCGGUGGAUACUGUGGGACUAGAGUACGGAAGAGGCGAGUGGAAUUCCUGGUGUAGCGGUGGAAUGCGCAGAUAUCAGGAGGAACACCAAUAGCGAAGGCAGCUCGCUGGGACGUUACUGACACUGAGGCGCGAAAGCGUGGGGAGCAAACAGG